UCGAAAUUUCAAACUGUCGUUCUGCUGCUUAAUUUGUAUUACUUGUAAGGUUACCUAUUUUUAUUUUAUGUCUUCACGAUGUUGUAUCUCUAUGAUUGAUAUUCUUCAUUAUUUGUCAUAAUGUUAAUUCAUUGCUAUUAUAAACAUUGAAAAAAAUUUGCUAAUGUUCUAGUCUCCCAAUAAAGAUUAAUUAACGAUUUAACAUAAUUUUAAAGCAGUGUCUCUACUUACCCCACUUCAUAGUAACUACUCUGUGCAGUGGGGUACAAAGAAGUUUAUUUAAAGAGGUUCCAACUAAAAAUUAACUGAGAAGGUACAUCAAGAAAAUGUAUAUUUUCCUUCCUGAAGCAUUAUACGCGUGGACAAAUGAUACCUCUUUCUGCUCCAUUUCCCUAGCGUUUCGCGUAAUAUCGCACGUCCGAAAUUCGUGUCGUCAACUAAAAGGAAGCAAAGUACCGCGACGUCGAAAUUGCGUCGAAGCGACACGUCCGCUCGCGGAUUACAUACCUACGCUACCACGAGCAGUGUAAACGAAACGUGUGAAUAUUAAGUGACUAUAGUGUUGCAUAACGCGCCACGACAUCGUUUGAUAAUGAUAAAAUUCUAUUUUUGCGCCGCGUUCGGCGCUCGUCAGUUUCGCUAUCGAUACGCUUCGAUUCGCGUCGUUUUGUGCUAUCCACGUAAAUUCAUCUCCAGCUAACAGCGUUGCUCUAUCGAUCCUUUUUUUUUUUUUAAGUAAGUGGAAUGAACGAUCAACCGAUUAUUAACAUAAAGAGUGAUACAUUAAACGUAUUGAACGUUUUUAAUUGAAGGUCUGUCGACUGAUUAUAGCUUAGAUCCCAUUGUGCUUCAAUACGUUUCCACAAAAAUAAUCAAAAGUAAUACAAGUCAUUUGGUUGUUAUCGAAUGAAGCUUUUUAUCCACGAUGGAAGGAUACUUUGAACACGUGUGGUACGAGAGAUGAAUAUCAGAGGACGGGAUGACACUAUACACAUCUACGAUAUAAUUAUUACGUAAUCUGUGGUAUACUUCUCGCGAUUGACAAAUCCAUGUGGAUUAAUACACAGCAAGAGGAUGACGAUGCGCACAGCGGGAAAAGUUGAUGCUACGCAUGCUCAAACGAAAGGCGCAAGGAUCCACGCGAGGGACCGAGGAAGAAGACGGCAACGAAUUAUCAGGGCUGAGGUUCCAGCAAGUAAAAGGAAAUUCCUCGACUGACAGAAGGAAGCAGAGAUAUCCGACUACCAAGCAUUAACCGAUGUUGUUGGGACCGACAAGAGACUGAUUCGAAGAAAUUGAGUUACUUAGAGUAACCGUUAACUGGUGGUUUAGAAACUGAGCAACAGAGUCCUUCGAAGACCGUGACAAGCCGUGUAAUCGAAGACCAGUAUAAAUUUAGCACGAUCUCCGCCUGGAAUAGUCCUAUUGUAGCGCGCCUAAGCUCGCUGUAACAAGCUUAGUCGCGUCGGACCGCGUAGGGUGGAUUCAGCAUGGGCUUAACGCGGAUUCGACGCAAUCUGAAUUCCGCUCGGCGCUCGUCUAACGGAACUAAUCAAACCGCAAAAUUACCGCGUUGUGAAACAGCGCAGCUGAACGGUUUGGCGACUUUUAAAUAAACAUCGCAUCGGUUGCUCAACGAGGAAUCCAUCGAAAUCGGUUAGUAUUUGCGCGGGCACGUUCUCCCUGGUUACAGGGGUAUGAAGUUUAAUCUUUCUUUGCGCAAAUAGGCAUUGAAAGGGCGCGCGACUCCUGGCAUUUACCGCUGCUCGCCACGGAUAAACGUUUCGAUUCCGAAAACGACAGCGUUUGCUUUCGUUCGAUUAAUCGUUCGAGCUACGAGUCACGUAAUCGCCGAGACGCGUUAGAAGCGAACUCGUCGGAAAUUCAGUGCCUCGAACGCGAAGAGAAAAUGAUCUUAUCAUCGAGGGAGCCCCAAGCGAAAAAAUCGAGCAAUUGCAUGCAAAGGGGAGUUCAGAUAUCGUCGCAGACAUAUCGAUUCGCAGUAAAGCUUAUUUCCGUAUGGUGCGCGAAGCUUCGACUCUUCUGGAUCGUCCUCCGGCAUGAUUAGCACACGCCUUUCUGCCUGUCGCCUAGCGUUUUUCCCAACUUAAUUAAUAUGUCGGACGAAGACUUUCUUAAUUACAAUGCCAAACCGGCCGUAUUUUCCGCGCGACGGAGAUUAAAGGCAUCGUUCCGUGUUUUCAAUCAGUCGACUCGUCAACUUCUAUUCUCCGCUGUUGUUUAACUUCUCGAUUGCCUCGGCAACGUUCCCUCGCGACAGUGGGUUCCAUGUAUUAUUUUCUAGACGUUCAAUUAACUUGGAGGCGACGCGCUCGGGAAAAUUGAAAUUUGACUCUUCCUUCGGGCUAUUCGUACUGUUCAAUUUUCAAAGG